GGGUACAUGGGGGGGACCUGAUCCAGCCAUGCCGCGUGUGUGAAGAAGGCCUUAUGGUUGUAAAGCACUUUAAGCGAGGAGGAGGCUACUAGUAUUAAUACUACUGGAUAGUGGACGUUACUCGCAGAAUAAGCACCGGCUAACUCUGUGCCAGCAGCCGCGGUAAUA
rnacentral:rRNA from 1 species